rnacentral:lncRNA from 1 species
GGAGAGUAGAGGAAAGACAGGAGAUGGUUGUUGGCAAGGGCAGGGCGACCGUCCGGCCGAGGCCCGACGUGCUGGGCUGGGGGGUGGGCGGUGCCCACUUGAAGUUCAAGGUCAUAAACUUAACUGGAGCCAAUCCAAAUCCACUGCCCAAGCAAAAGCGUAUCUAAGAAAAAGAAAAAUAACUCGAAGCCUCCAAGACACAUAAAAUCCAGAAUGGACUGACAACGGUGAAGAAGGGUAGAGCUUUUCAGAAAGAUGACCCUCGAUUCAGGGCUUAGCCAUUCUUGUACAUGGAGCCAAGUUCAUUUUACCCGCAACUGACUUACAAGUGUCUCAUAACUCUGGACUCGUAACGGACACCACAAAAGCCCGUUCAAUGUCCAGUUGCUGGGAUGAGCCUAGUGGACAAAACGUCAAGCCAAUGGCAUGAGGACUGUGGUUUCAAUCAAGACCUGUCCCCCCAGAGCAGGGCUGCCCCAGCCCAUCCAUCUGGCAUCUCCGAGUCUCGGCAUCUUCUCUGAAAAUGAGAAUCAGAAGGUGUGUGAGCAAAGUUUGUUGUGUUAAUCGAAAAUAUGUUAAUUUUCUGCAUUUCAAUAACUUCAAGCUUAGCCUGAGAACCUUCCAAGCUGUAGAAAACCUCCUUGACUAAGAGUCCACCUGCACAAGGACCUCCGUCCUUCUGAACACAAACGAGCUGGAAUAGACCGUAAAGAAGGAGGGGGACCCUGGGGCCAGGAAGCUGGUCCUUCACAAGCAGGUCAGUGGUGGGGAUGCAGCUGGGGGCACAUGACACGAUGACAUUUCAUCUGGGUCUGAAAUACUCAGGCCCAGGCCCCUGAGAGUCCUGCAAACAGCGAAUCAGAAGGACCGCAGAGACUGAACAGGUGGUCCCUGAGCAGGUGGCUCUUGGCUGCUUGGAUGAGGGAGGGGAGAGGAGAGAGAAGAUGCUGGGGGCCACCCCAGGGGCCCUGCGCUGGAGACAGGUCCCGGGGCCCAGACUGUCUCACCCGAGAUGCAUCUUCCAUAACCUCCUUGGCAAGUCAGUCCUGAGCAUGAGCCUAGAGAAACCCCUUCACCAGGCCUGCCGUGGAGAAGGCCCUUCAAAGCCCCCCUCAGAAGAACGAGAAGCAUCCAAUGCUCCAUCAGUGGUGCCAUUACUAAUCAAAUUUAAAAGGAUUAAUGAGGGACCUCCCGUCAUGGCGCAGCGGACACGAAUCCGACUAGGAACCAUAAGGUUUUCGGUUCGAUCCCAGGCCCCGCUCAAUGGGUUAAGGAUCCAGCGUUGCCAUGAGCUGUGGUGUAGGUCGUGGACGCGGCUUGAAUCUGGCGUUACUGUGGCUGUGCCACAAGCUGACAGCUAUAGCUCCGAUAAGACCCCGAGUCUGGGAACCUCCACAUGCUGCAAGUGUGGCCCUAAAAAGACAAAAAGACUAAAAUAAAAUAAAAAGUUUAGUGAGUAAAGAAAUAAAGUAGGAAAGCCUCUUGGAGGAAAGAAUGAAAGAUCUGUGUUAUAGUGACAAUGACAGAAAUGAAAAGCAUUUUGCCAAGAUUUUGCACCUGUGACAAGCCAGGCCAAGUCACAGACUUCGAAAAGAAUGGGCUCUUUUGGACGGGCGUGUCUGCACACCGAGGUCUAACCACUGGGGCAGUUCUACCCUAUUAGGUGAAGAAGAAACCCCCUCAUCUUGUUGUGGCUUGUGCCGCCCUGCAGGGCUGGGAUUGGGCAGAGAAAGCCUGUGUUUACGUGCGACUUUAAUUUGAUUUACUGUCCCUGACAAGCCCGCCUGAACCCAGCGCUCUGUCUCAGCAGGGUCCCUGCCUCGCCUCUCCUGCUCUGCAAGAACUCGAAAGCAGGAGCUGGCAGGUGGAUGCCGAGGGGGACUUCGCCUCCCUUCAUGCUUGCCCAGGGCAAGUGGAACCAAGCCCGACUGCUUCAGAACCUUUCCUGGGCACGGGCUAAAGGCGCUUGGUGUCACGGUGUCACUGGAGGUGGCCUGAGGGGCAGACAGAUUCACCAGCGAUGGCUGCAUCUUGGGAGCUCAGCUCUGUGAAGCGGCAGUGUCAGCCCCGUGCGAGCUCCCCGCCAUCUGGGGAGGGGACACUGUGCUUGGAAAGUCAGAAGACAGGAAAGCAUCUGCGCCCUCCUCCUCCCGAGGCCCUCAGUGUCCUGCCUCCUCUCUGAGGCUGUCUGUGUUCGAACCUGCCCUGGGCCCUGUCACCGGAACAAAAGAUGGAAUUUCGCAUUUCUACCUCCUCAUUUCCUAGAAUUUCAGCUGCCUUCAUGGUUCUCC